CUUGUCCCCCCUUCUUCUCCUACUCCUCCUCCAUCUCUCUCUCUCUCUCGCUCUCUCUCCCACACACACACACACACACUGUUACACUCAGUCCCAGGGGCGAGAUGGUGGUGGAGGUGGUGCUGGUGUGGUUUCCUGCUUGUGUUGUGACGUGAGGCAGUCCUGCUUGCUGCUGACGUUUUGCUGUGUUAAGCCCCUGGCGUCAUUCUUCUUCAUCUUGCUAUUUGAGAAUGAACAAGAGGGACGGAAGAAGGACGUAAAGAAAAGAGGGGAAAAAGAGCGACAACUGUGCAGGAGCACCAGCUUGUCACCUCUCAGCAGAUCAUGUCAGUGCAUCAUGAAACCUCUCAUCUCAGCGGGGCUGUUUCCACAAUUAAUAUUUUCUGUUGUCUUUCCUGCAUUCAUAUCAUAGUGCACUGCAGAGGUUAAGAAAAAAAACCUCCCCGGUAUUCUAUUUAAUCAUGGGGGCUUUUGAAUGAGCUCAGCCAUAGUGCUGCCACGCUCAUUACUGUGGCAGAUAUGUAGCACAUGCACCUCUCAGCAAUCCCCACUGUGAUAAAAGGCUUUGGCUAACCUGGUGGCUACACUGAUGCAGCUUAUAAAUGUGAGCCAUUGUGAUUGAUUUUAACUUUUGUGUGGAAGUGGAUCUCCUAAGCACAGUCCAUUUUCUUCUGUGCAGCUCUAUUGCUGCUGUUAAAUAAAUAUUGGAGGUUCUUGUAUGUCUGUGGUAUU
rnacentral:lncRNA from 1 species